rnacentral:misc_RNA from 1 species
CCAAAAAAUCUAAACCAAAAGGCCAAAAAAACAAAAAACACUCAACACAAAAAGACCAAAAUUUUAACUAUUUAUGUACAUGUAUAUAAUCUUCUUCCUCUUCCUCCUUGGAUGCCAAGAAAAUGCCAAGAGUUUCGGUUUUGGAGCCCAUCUCACAGAAAGAAAGACAAAUCAAGAAAGAGGCCAAAACAAGACAGAGAGAGAAAGAGAAGAUUAACUUUGAACCAUUUCUCUCUCUCUCUUGAUGAAUCCCUCUUAUCUUUGGUUUCUCCCAUCACCUGAUUCAAGAAUCACUAUAAUCUCUCCAG